rnacentral:rRNA from 1 species
CAAGUCGAACGAGAAAGUGGGGCAACCCAUGAGUACAGUGGCGUACGGGUGAGUAACACGUGGAUGAUCUACCUUCUGGUGAGGAAUAACCCUGGGAAACCGGGGCUAAUACCGCAUAAGCUCGAGAGAGGAAAGUCGCAAGACGCCGGAAGAGGAGUCCGCGGCCGAUUAGCUAGUUGGCAGGGUAAAAGCCUACCAAGGCAAAGAUCGGUAGCCGGCCUGAGAGGGCACACGGCCACACUGGCACUGAAACACGGGCCAAACUCCUACGGGAGGCAGCAGUGGGGAAUCUUGCACAAUGGGGGAAACCCUGAUGCAGCGACGCCGCGUGAGCGAUGAAGCCCUUCGGGGUGUAAAGCUCUUUCGGCAGGGACGAUAAUGACGGUACCUGCAGAAGCAGCUGCGGCUAACUACGUGCCAGCAGCCGCGGUAAUACGUAGGCAGCAAGCGUUGUUCGGAGUUACUGGGCGUAAAGGGUGUGUAGGCGGUUGCUUAAGUUUGGUGUGAAAUCUCCCGGCUCAACCGGGAGGGUGCGCCGAAUACUGAGUGACUCGAGUGCGGGAGAGGAGAGUGGAAUUCCUGGUGUAGCGGUGAAAUGCGUAGAUAUCAGGAGGAACACCGGUGGUGUAGACGGCUCUCUGGACCGUAACUGACGCUGAGACACGAAAGCGUGGGUAGCAAACAGGAUUAGAUACCCUGGUAGUCCACGCCCUAAACGAUGCAUAUUUGGUGUGGGCAGUUCAGUCUGUCCGUGCCGGAGCUAACGCGUUAAAUAUGCCGCCUGGGGAGUACAGUCGCAAGGCUGAAACUCAAAGGAAUUGACGGGGGCCCGCACAAGCGGUGGAGCAUGUGGUUCA